rnacentral:RNase_P_RNA from 1 species
GAAAGUCCGGUCUCCACAGGGCAGCGUGCCGGCUAACGGCCGGGGGGGACCUCUCAAAGGGGUCUUUACGGAAAGUGCCACAGAAAAUGUACCGCCGGUCGUUCUUCACAGAGCCUCCGGUAAGGGUGAAAAGGUGCGGUAAGAGCGCACCGCGGAUGGAGUAAUCCGUCUGGCAGGGUAAACCCCACGCGGAGCAAGACCAAAUAGGGGAGGAGGAGCGGCCCGCUCCGUUACAACUUCCGGGUAGGUCGCUACGGUUUGCGCGCACGCGUGCAAACGACGAGCCUCGCAGUAAUGCGCGGCCUGGAUGAAUGGCUAUCGCCCGCAAGGGUACAGAAACCGGCUUACAGCCGCGCGCCUGUU